rfam:Capsella rubella cultivar Monte Gargano unplaced genomic scaffold scaffold_8, whole genome shotgun sequence.
GUCCCUUUGAAGACAUUUGAUAAAAUUGGAACGAUACAAAAAAGAAUAGUAUGGUCUUGUGCAAGGAUGACACGCACAAAUUGAGAAAUCGUCCAAAACAUU